GAUGAAUGCUGGCGGCGUGCCUAAUACAUGCAAGUCGAGCGAACAGACGAGGAGCUUGCUCCUCUGACGUUAGCGGCGGACGGGUGAGUAACACGUGGAUAACCUACCUAUAAGACUGGGAUAACUUCGGGAAACCGGAGCUAAUACCGGAUAAUAUAUUGAACCGCAUGGUUCAAUAGUGAAAGACGGUUUUGCUGUCACUUAUAGAUGGAUCCGCGCCGCAUUAGCUAGUUGGUAAGGUAACGGCUUACCAAGGCAACGAUGCGUAGCCGACCUGAGAGGGUGAUCGGCCACACUGGAACUGAGACACGGUCCAGACUCCUACGGGAGGCAGCAGUAGGGAAUCUUCCGCAAUGGGCGAAAGCCUGACGGAGCAACGCCGCGUGAGUGAUGAAGGUCUUCGGAUCGUAAAACUCUGUUAUUAGGGAAGAACAAAUGUGUAAGUAACUAUGCACGUCUUGACGGUACCUAACCAGAAAGCCACGGCUAACUACGUG
rnacentral:rRNA from 1 species